CCAGCUUGACUGCGAGCGUGACGGCGCGAGCAGGUGCGAAAGCAGGUCAUAGUGAUCCGGUGGUUCUGAAUGGAAGGGCCAUCGCUCAACGGAUAAAAGGUACUCCGGGGAUAACAGGCUGAUACCGCCCAAGAGUUCAUAUCGACGGCGGUGUUUGGCACCUCGAUGUCGGCUCAUCACAUCCUGGGGCUGAAGUAGGUCCCAAGGGUAUGGCUGUUCGCCAUUUAAAGUGGUACGCGAGCUGGGUUUAGAACGUCGUGAGACAGUUCGGUCCCUAUCUGCCGUGGGCGCUGGAGAACUGAGGGGGGCUGCUCCUAGUACGAGAGGACCGGAGUGGACGCAUCACUGGUGUUCGGGUUGUCAUGCCAAUGGCACUGCCCGGUAGCUAAAUGCGGAAGAGAUAAGUGCUGAAAGCAUCUAAGCACGAAACUUGCCCCGAGAUGAGUUCUCCCUGACCCUUUAAGGGUCCUGAAGGAACGUUGAAGACGACGACGUUGAUAGGCCGGGUGUGUAAGCGCAGCGAUGCGUUGAGCUAACCGGUACUAAUGAACCGUGAGGCUUAACCUUACAACGCCGAAG
rnacentral:rRNA from 1 species